CACCCCCUUCGCUCAAGCCGAGACACAUCUGUGGUGCAGUUUCUCUCCUGAGCCCCCGGGCCUCGGGCCAAGGCCAGACUUAGCUGAGACCACCUCCUGGCUCAGCUCUCUCUCCUUCCUGUUGAUUCCCUUAUGGCUACCUCCUGGAGAGCAGCCCCUCAGUAAAUUCCACCACCUGAAUCUCUGUCUCAGCCUCUGGUUCUAGAGAACCUGACUUAAAACAGAGGCCACGGUGCAGAGGAGAAAAGGCAAUGGACCAACCCACAAACAGCUGGGAGCAGGAGCCUUUGUUGAGAUGGUUUCCAAGAGUUGAUGCGUGAUAGGAAUCAGAAGGUGCUUGAAUUAAUUGGGACUUUGCUCUUUCCAAGGAACAGAAACCAACCCCCAAGUAACCGUAAAAGGGAGCGUGUGUUACAAAGAAUUGGGUGCCGCAGAGGACCUGGCUGCAGCCUCGCCGGAGCUGCCCGCCGUCUCAGCACCAGCGGCAGCUGCUCCUCCUCUCUCUCACCUGCACACCUGCUUCGCUGUUUUCUUCUCUAUCCCCAGGCCACAGGGCGAAAGACUGUCACCCAGAGCUCUUGCACCCAGGAGCCUGAACUGGACUCUGCUGUUGUGAUGUUUUGUUCCAAGAGAAGGAAUUUGAUUGGCCCAUUUGUAUCACAUAAGCCCUGGACCAAUCAAUCGUAGCCAGGAAGCAAAGGUUUGGGGUGGGUGUAGCGUUACACAAACACAUCCCAGAAGCCUGUGGCCAAGCUUGUCCUGUGGCCCAGGUGAAAGAGAAGAGACAGUCCUGCAAGGGAGGCCUUUGCUCAGAUGACACUAUGGGUGUCCACUAUGCUAAUGAAAGUAACACGUCCAGGGAGCAUCAUCUCAUGGACUCCACCACCCGGAGUUUCUGUCCAGGAUCUCUGAAGUCUUUACCAAAGAUAGAAGCAUGAUUCUAAGAAGAACCUUUUUUGGGAGAAGAAGGCUGAUAUUCUACCUCAAUGAGGCCAGAAUAAAAGAAAACAGAUCUAUUGCACCCCAAUUUCCCUUUGGAGAAUUACUUCCUCCAUGUUGUAUGCAGCCUCAGGAUGUCCUGCCCACCAGCCACAGAGGCUACUGGCUCCUUUCAACAGAAGCUCUCACCACCCAGCUACAGCCAAGCGUGUGACCCAAGCUCCAUCAGAC
rnacentral:lncRNA from 1 species